ensembl:lncRNA
CAGCUGCCUUGCAGACCUCUGCAGCUGUCAAGUGCAGUGUGGCUGGGAAGCAGGUUAGCAGAACUGUAUUUGGUCCGUUAUGCUCACUUCAAAAUCUAUUAUCUAUUGUUGUGGUUAAAGCAUCAUUAUUUACUGCUGCUUUUCUACUUGGUGCAAAUGCUUGUACAAGAUGGGAAAAUGAGCACAUGAAAUUUGCCAGAAUUUGGACUGUCUCAAAACAUGGACUGCCAAAGUUGUACUACAGAAUUUAGUCUCCUAAAGGGGAUCAGAUUCUGGAAGAUCUUUCCAAAAGAAGCUGUGGAGUCUACUGCAGAUACUCAAAAUCUUGAAGAGCUCCCUCUGCUUUAAACAGCAGAAACAGAACAACACCACUGGAAAAAGAAAAUUGGAAAAGAAGGGAGAAAUGAAAUAUAAAUAAAUAAAUAGGUCAGAAUUCCUAACUCUUAACUCUUUAAAUUAUUUACUGGGAUCAUAGCUAGUUUAGGGAAUAUAAAAAUAUGGAACCUUAGAAGUGUGUUGAGUUGGGUAGAGUGAAGUGAGUUUAAAAGUAAAUAUAAGUUCAGUAAUGUUAAUUAAUCUCAAUAACAUGAUGCUCUAAUACAUUAGCUAUACAUUCUUUUGAUUUGAGAAUUCAAAAUAUC